rnacentral:lncRNA from 1 species
AUGAUUCCCCCUCCCCAGGCCAUGCCUGGCCACCCAUCGCACCCCAACAGCAGCCCCUCGAAGUCCCUCUGGGCCCUCGUCCUCCAGGCAGAGCCUCCUCACAGGUCUGACUUCCUCAGGAAAGCCUUCCCUGAACUCAUGCCCUGCCCGGCCCCCCUCUCGCCCCCACCCCGUGUCCACAGACCCGUAUAUUUGCUGACAUCGUCCAUCUCUCUCCACAGGGCUGUGGGCAUUACCAGGCAGGGCCAUGGCUUCUGUUUUUAUCCCCAGAGCCUGCUCUGGCUCCAGCCCAGAAGGCACUGGGGGGCUUUGGAGUCAAGAGGGACCAGACCUCUCCCUGACUGGCAUGGGUUCGAGCUGCGGGUGGAGUGGAGUGUUUGGGGAAGUCUCCAGCUCUGAGUGUUCAUUCAUCAUUCCUGGGCACUGGGGCCAAGGACUGGGCCACAGAGCUGGUCACCAUCUCCUGCCCAGUGAGGUACGACAUGCCUCCCUCAGGGCCAGGCCUGGUUCUCAGAUGAGGAAGCCAUCAUGGCCAAGGCCUCUGCCCCUGUGACCCCUCCCUGUGGGUGGGGGAGGGAGAUGGCGCACACAUACGUCCAUGGUAGUGACCGGGCCAGAAGAAUGCAAACAUAUACACACAAGGGGGACAACAGAGGGGCCUCCACGGUGGCAAGUCAGCAGAGCAUGGAGAAGGACAUUUCUCUGAGACCUGGGGAGGGGUGGUGUAGGGUAGGGGGGUGGGGGGGCUAUAGGUAUUAGGGAGCCUUUCUUCAAAGACAGCGCAUGCCCCACAGUGACAAUUCAGACUGAGUAACUCAGCACCCUAGUAGGUGGGGCUUAGUCCUCUAUAUCGGAUUCAGAAAAGAAGAAUGUGCUAUUUCUUGCAACAAAACAAAAGUGAAAUAGGUCACGAGAGGUGGGGCAUGAGUACCGUGGGAUUCAGAGGAAAGCUGGCUUACUUUUCACUGCAGGUCAGAAGGGGUGUGUCUUGGGGGGGGGGGGGGGGAAAGAACUUGGGUCAAGCACUUUUAACCUCUCUUUGCUCCUGACCUUGGGAGGUGUCCCUCCUUAUACAGUCCAGUUCUAGCCAGAUCCCUGCUAAGUUAGUUUAGCCAGAAUCCCCCGUCCUCCAUAUCUGACUCCCCUCCAUAUGUAAUCUGGUUCUUCAUCUUCCACCGUCCCCCAGGUGAUGGCUGGCCUGCCUUCAGCAAGACUCCUGUGAUGUGCAAUUAGCCAGGCUGCCUCCUGCCCCCCAGAGGUAGCCUCUUAGCCAUUUUUCAUCCACUGACCCACACACACACACACACCUGCUCCUUGGCCAUAAAUUCUACUUUUCCUUGUAUUUGGAGUUGAGCCCACUCUCUCUCCCCUACUACAAAACCCCUCAUUGCAGGAUGCCCUCUUGAAUAAAGUCUGUCCUUACCACUCUCUAACA